UCGAAAGUGGGUGGGUUAUCAACCAGAUAGAUACCUUGGUAGUCCACCCAAGUAAACGAUGAUUACUCGCCUGUUUGCGGAUUAUACUGCAAGCGGCCAAGCGAAAAGCGUUAAGUAUUCCCACCUGGGGAGUACGCCGGCAACGGUGAAACUCAAAGGAAUUGACGGGGGCCCGCACAAGCGGAGGAACAUGUGGUUUAAUUCGAUGAUACGCGAGGAACCUUACCCGGGCUUGAAUUGCAACCGAAUUAUCCGGAGACGGGUAAGCCGCAAGGCGGUUGUGAAGGUGCUGCAUGGUUGUCGUCAGCUCGUGCCGUGAGGUGUCGGCUUAAGUGCCAUAACGAGCGCAACCCUUAUCCACAGUUACCAUCAGGUUAUGCUGGGGACUCUGUGGAGACUGCCGUCGUAAGAUGCGAGGAAGGGGGGGAUGACGUCAAAUCAGCACGGCCCUUACGUCCGGGGCUACACACGUGUUACAAUGGGGGGUACAGCAGGCAGCUCGGCGGCGACGCCCGGCCAAUCCCUAAAUCCCCUCUCAGUUCGGACUGGAGUCUGCAACCCGACUCCACGAAGCUGGAUUCGCUAGUAAUCGCGCAUCAGCCACGGCGCGGUGAAUACGUUCCCGGGCCUUGUACACACCGCCCGUCAAGCCAUGAAAGCCGGGGGUACCUGAAGUGCGUAACCGUUUAGGAGCGCCCUAGGGUAAAACCGGUGAUUGGGGCUAAGUCGUAACAAGGUAACCGUA
rnacentral:rRNA from 1 species